AAAAAAAAACUACGAAAAAAAACCAGAACUCGCACGCACGAGCGAGACUGCCCUCUCGAUCCCCUCGACCUACGAUCUGUGACUGCAGACGCACCAGAUCGCCGCCGCGGACCUGGCAGGGAAGACGCGGACGAGAUCCCAAGCCGCUGCUCCUCCUCUCCCGGGAUGCAGCCGCCGCCGCCGAACCAGGGAGACGCCGGCGACCGUCUCCGCCGUCGUGGAUCACCAGGACGCCGCCGCCUGCACCGCCACCACCGCACCACCACCACCGCGCCUCAAUCCCACAGCCGCUGGCCUCCUCCUCCUGUAGCGCCGCCGCUCCAGCCCCUCACCUUCUCAGCCUGGAUCCGUGCGACAAGGUGUGGGGCUAUGGGAGAGAAGGCUCCAUAUCGCGCGACAAGGUGAGGGGGCGCCCAGAUCCGCAGCGGCACCACCGCGCCCUCGUCCACCUGGCCCUCGAGGUCGGCCAUGGAGGUCCGGCCCGACCAAUGGAUGGAUGGGGAUGAAACCCUAGCCCAACACCCACCCAUGGAUGGAUGGGGAUGGGGCGGCGGCUGCGGCCUUCUCUCGGUGCUUGCUGGUGUGGUGGACAUCGACGUCGGUGACGGGUUGCAGCACGUAGACAUCAAAGGUACUGACACCCUCCAUCCUCAAGGUUUCUUCCCCUCGCGAUGUUGCUUUGUAGGUGGCCAGGAUCUCCGCGGUCGGCAUCGGCGUCGGCGUCGUCUACGGCUCUGUCAGGCUCGACAUCCUCAAGGCACUAGCAAUGUUUUACCAUUGACAGAGCAUUGUGAAUAUGGUAACAGACUACUUGGGUGUUCUGAAAUCGAAUUCUGUAUAUAAUAUAAGUAUAGUCCAUGACAUGUGCUGCUGCUUCCGAUUAGAUACAAUAGCUUCUCUCUUUUGUAUCGUACAACUGAGAUCUUCAUUACAUUACAACCUUAUGUUUUGCUUUUUUUUAAUUGAAAUUGGUGUUCUCUCUCUAGGUUAAUGGAUCAUCCUGGGAAUGGACUAUGGAAUGGCAAACUAACAGGGCACAUCGCACAACUGGGUAUUGUCAAUCUACUUACAGACCACUUGCGUUGGGCAAGAGGGUUCUGCUGUGGAGACCAAGAAAAAGGAUGGGAACAUUGGGGACGCCUCAGCUGCCAUCGAUGAACGCAACUCGGAACAGGCAAAGCUCCACGCGAGGCUCCCCUGGCUGCCGAGCAUCUCUGAGAAGCCCAAAAUGAUAUGAGAUGAUGUCAUGGUGAUCGAUAGUGCCACGCAGGUUAUGCCGGAGACCAUCAUGUUCCCUGUCAAGUUCUUCCAGUUCUUCACCGAGAUUCUGCCAGCAGCAAGCGAGGUCAUCUCCUUCUUAGACCAGUACUAAGGACCGCCGUUAUGUGGAUCCAUUUUACAUGCAAAUGUCGAGCCCAUCAUAUCGUGUUCGACCCAUGAACUGGAAGGAUAUAUUGCUUGCCAUUAUGUGGUUGUUGGUCAGGCCAGCUGAGGAGAGGCACCAAAUUAAGAAGAGAGAGACAUCAAAGAUGGAGCUGUGUUUAGCUUCUCGCUCAUCAGACCUUACUCGGCAGAGCUGCUUGAGGGGCUUGCUGCCAUGCGGUUUUGCUCAAAAUAGCUAGAGCACACACGUGAUAGGGUUGCUUUGGUUUACAGGGAGGAGAGGCUGAGGCUGAUGCUUCUAGAGUUGGUGUACGUUGCGUAGAGAGAGGUGAGGAUCUCACUCCAGUAUCUUGUAAGUCUGGAGUAGGACAAUACGUUGGGCCUUUUCAUUAAUGGAUGUUGUUUCUGCAUGUAUCUUGACUAUAUAUUUGAUCCGAUGCAUUACUUUAUUUUCUAGAAACUUUACUCUUAGGGUAAGUGCAAGUAAAAUGUCGGUUCACAUUGGAAAAAUUCACUCGGCGUUGUCCUUCUGUUUCAUGCAUGAUGCAAUAACCAUAAAACAUGUUUGGCACCAUGGAAGCCACAAGGUUACAGAACUAGAGACAUGUAACCUACUUAAUGCCUUAUAUCUGUCUUCCUAUGUUUAAAUAUUUAGAUAUUUUUCUCUAAAUUAUUUAUAUAUUUUUCGAUCAUGUACCGCCUCUCAUGGAUUAUUUAUUUAUAGCAAAUCCAUGAAGUUUAUGAUUUUCGCAUAUAGCUAUUGUUUUACUUUUGCCUUGUUGUGACCUGUGAGUACAAUUAGUCUUCUGGCUAAAUUCUUGUUUUAUAUUCCCACAUCAUCUUAGAUAUUUCAUUCAUUGUCACUACUCUUAAUUUUGGUUUACAAAUUUGCUGUGGGUUAAUGAAUUUUUCAGGUUCUACUGAAUUUUUCAUGUUGAAUUUGAUUGUAUACAUACUUGCUAAUCCAAUUAUAGAUAGCUAAAUAAAUUGAAGAUGAUGCCACUUUGUGCAUUGUACAUCUAUUGGAAAUGGCAAUAGUUACAUGACCAACACUUUCCCAUUCAGUUUAGUCUGCUAUUCUGCUUGUACUAUCAUUUCUUCAGAUAUAUAGAUUUUUUGUUCUACUAAACUCUCAUGCUACUUGAAGUUUACGUAAAGAGUUUCGGGGGAGCAAAGCAGAAAGGAGUUCAGUGCGAAGGAGAAUAGGAGGGAGGAGAGAUUUUUUUGUGCGUUAGAUGGAUUGACAAGUACCAAAGUUUGAUGCAAGCAGAACUGAAACCUGUCCAUGAAUUACCUUCAGUCCCACAUUCCAAUCAACAACAUUGGGCCGAGCGAGCGCGCGGGUGUCGCAAGAGGCAAUGGGCAGCCGGUGGAGACUGAGUGGUGAGCGGCGGUGGCGAGGUCGAGCGGUUGGCACCAGCGGCGAGUAGGCAAUUACCUUGAUGGGCGAGCGGAUGGGGCGAGUAGGUGUCACGAUUGCAUCACAAUUGGAAUAAAGUAAACAAUGCAUACGUGUGGCCAUUAACUGAUUUUGUAUGUUGUGUGCUUGGGUUAACAGCCAGCCAAAUCAAUCAGCCAAGGGCCAUUAUGUACGUGAGUGUGUUAGCGGUGGGUAUAUCUGAAGAUUAUUUCUCAACUCGGCAUGUGGGUAGAGACUAAAAAGACGAUGCCAUGGUAGCAUGGCAGACCUGGCAAGUGCCACGAACAUCAUGAUAUUCUUCCUUUUCUUAAUUUCUUGAUUUGAAAAAUAAUUUGCUCUGCAUGUGUAGGAACAUAGCAGUCAGGCAAAUGACACUUUGGCAUCUUGAUCUAUCAAGGGAAAUAAUUUCUUUACUUUAGAA